UCAAUAAACUUCAAAAAUAUAUUCAAUUCAUUCGAACAACUGCCAUUUAUGACUUUUCUAUUACUCAUAAACCACAGUCGUAGUGUUUUGUGAUCAAUGUGUUUCACCAUUUCAAAAAAAAAACAAAAAACAAAAGUAUUUCCAUGAUUUUCUUGCACUUGAACCCUAAGAGCAAUUUAAAAGCAACAACAAUAAAAAAUGCCCAUCUUGCGUUAAAAUAAGAUUAUAUUGAUGUAUAUUUUCAAUUUUUAUCUCAGUUAGGGACUCCUUCACAGAACCAUGAAAACCAAACCUCUCUUCUGGAAACUCGUUAACUCGAACAUGAUGGAAACUCGUUAACUCGAACAUGAUGGAAACUCGUAAUCAAAUGAUCAUGCAACCACAAUGAUGAUUACAACAAGUAGGAUGACGGCGAAGAUCACCAAGAGUAGACAUGACUGCAUAGAAUCAUAGAUAGAGAAUAAUAUUACAAAGGAUUUACGUAAAUGAUUG
rnacentral:lncRNA from 1 species